GAUUUUACUUGAAUUAAUGCCUGUUAAGAUAUCAGACACAAACUAAGUAAGACACUGACAGGUAAUACAUAUACCAGUAGGGGGCAGUAUGGUGUGCACAGUUUUUUUUCUUAUCACAAUAAACACUUGUCCCAUGUUUUAUGUUUUUUUUAAGAAAUAAGAAAAGGUUUCUGACUUUUACAUUGAUCACAUCAACUUAUAAUUUAUUCACAAUUAGUUUUAACCUUUGUAUUUGUAUAAGUCAGUGGAAUGUGAUCUGGACAUAUUCUUGUCAGCUUUCAUGACUCAAAAUAAGGGGGAUUCAGGUGCUUUCCAUAUCUGGAGAAACCUCAGUGCAAAAAUGACCCUACUGAAUAUAUUGUGUUUGCAGAUGAUAUGCAAGCAAUCACGUCUUGCUUUUUCCAUUUGAUUUUAGGGUGAAAUGUGACAAAAGUGUGUUUUAAGGGAUUGUCCCAUAUAGUGUAAAUGAGAUUAGAUUAAACACAUAGCACAGUCGUAACUAAAAGCACGAUUUGGAGCACAGGUAUAAACUGGAGAGAUGUCCAAUGGAGAAGAGUGUAGAAGGAGCGUUUCUUCAGGUGACUGACAGAAACUCAAUGAUCUGCUUAGCUGUGUGGUCCGAACUGGAGAAUGGCCGCCUUAUCUUCAGGUUCGGCUUUGGUCAAACAGCUCUUUAUGCGAGUUAUCUCCACAAUGACACAGACACAUCUGUCCUCGUUUUUGUUUGAGGACUUUCUCCCAUGAUGAAAGUGGACUCUGCUUCAGCUCAAGGACGUUUGCACAUUAUUAGGAUUCCCAGGUCGCAACACUGUAAUAAAUGCCACUGGCAUGCAGCUGGUUAUGUAAAGCUGGA